rnacentral:rRNA from 1 species
AUUAGAUACCCCACUAUGCCAUGACGUAAACCAUGACCCCCACGUCCGCCAGAAAAUUACGGGCACCACCCUUUGGCCUAAAACUCAAAAGACUUGACGGUGUCCCAACCUACCUAGAGGAGCCUGUUCCAUAAUCGAUAAUCCCCGAUUAACCCAACCACCCCUUGUACUACUCAGCCUAUAUACCGCCGUCACCAGCUUACCUUCCAAAAGCACUAUCGUAAGCACAAUAGUAUUAUACUAAAAAGUCAGGUCAAGGUGUAGCUUAUGUGGUGGCGCUUAUGGGCUACAUUAUCUGUCCCAGAUAACCCACGGACUAGUUACUGAAAUAUAACUACAAAGGAGGAUUUAGCAGUAAGGCACGCAAGUACACCUACUUUAACCCUGCUCUGGGACAUGUACACACCGCCC